GCUGUUGUAGCUCAGGGGUAGAGCACUUCCUUGGUAAGGAAGAGGUCAUGGGUUCAAAUCCCAUUAACAGCUCAA
rnacentral:tRNA from 1 species